CAGCCGCCGCGGGAAUACGGAGGGUGCAAGCGUUAUCCGGAUUUAUUGGGUUUAAAGGGUCCGUAGGCGGACCUAUAAGUCAGUGGUGAAAGCCUGUCGCUUAACGAUAGAACUGCCAUUGAUACUGUAAGUCUUGAGUAUAUUUGAGGUAGCUGGAAUAAGUAGUGUAGCGGUGAAAUGCAUAGAUAUUACUUAGAACACCAAUUGCGAAGGCAGGUUACCAAGAUAUAACUAACGCUGAGGGACGAAAGCGUGGGUAGCGAACAGGAUUAGAUACCCCAGUAGUCCCUGUCUCUUAUAC
rnacentral:rRNA from 1 species